rnacentral:rRNA from 1 species
CCUACGGGAGGCAGCAGUGGGGAAUAUUGGACAAUGGGGGCAACCCUGAUCCAGCCAUGCCGCGUGUGUGAAGAAGGCCCUCGGGUUGUAAAGCACUUUCAGUGAGGAAGAACGCCUGGUGGUUAAUACCCAUCAGGAAAGACAUCACUCACAGAAGAAGCACCGGCUAACUCCGUGCCAGCAGCCGCGGUAAUACGGAGGGUGCGAGCGUUAAUCGGAAUUACUGGGCGUAAAGCGCGCGUAGGUGGCUUGAUAAGCCGGUUGUGAAAGCCCCGGGCUCAACCUGGGAAUGGCAUCCGGAACUGUCAAGCUAGAGUGCAGGAGAGGAAGGUAGAAUUCCCGGUGUAGCGGUGAAAUGCGUAGAGAUCGGGAGGAAUACCAGUGGCGAAGGCGGCCUUCUGGACUGACACUGACACUGAGGUGCGAAAGCGUGGGUAGCAAACAGGAUUAGAUACCCUGGUAGUC